AACUUUUGACAAUGGAACACUUGGCUCUCGCAUCGAUGAAGAACGCAGCGAAAUGCGACAAGUAAUGUGAAUUGCAGAAUUGAGGGAAUGAUCGAAUCUUUGAACGCACCUUGCACCCUUUGGCAUUCCGAAGGGUAUGCUCGUUUGAGUGUCAUUGUACUCUCAUGCUCCCGAUGCUUUUGGAUCGGGAGUGGUGGACUUGGGUGUUGCUGCUUUACUGUGGCUCACCUCAAAUGGAGUAGUGCAACUCUUGGUUGGACAUAGUACGGCGUGAUAAGUGUCUUCGCCGGCGCCUCAUUAGAGGGUGGCCGAUCGGGAGCUCUGUGCUUCAAACCGUCUUCGGACAACAUCUGACAACUUGACCUCAAAUCGAGUAGGACUACCCGCUGAACUUAAGCAUAUCAAUAAGCGGAGGCU
rnacentral:misc_RNA from 1 species